GUGUGUGUGUGUGCGUGUGUAAAUACCGGCAAUCGUGGACUUUCACUAGGAUACACACCUUCAAAUUGUGGACGCACUGGGACCGUGGACGUCCACGGUUACUUUUGCUGUAUUUUUGGAAUAUCUUUGGCUAGAAGAGGGCGCUCUAUCAUUCCCCAACAGUUUUAACGAUAGUCCACGUUUUGGCGGUGAAGAUCAGGAGUCGGUGCGUGAAAGUAUGAACUACAUUCAGCUCGUGUGACAAAAAAAUGGAACGUACUCGUCCCUAACUGUAGGACGCCCUCAAGCGGUACGUGCGUGGCGCGCUGUACCGAUCCGGGCCGCUGCGAGCGCGCCGAGCGCGCAAGUUGGCACCGUGCCAUGCCAUUUCCCGCGCUUGCAGGAUGAAACACGUCCACGAUUCGAUUGUUCAGAUCGCUGGACGCCUGCGAUGAUUUAACGAUUAUAGGCAGAUAGAAGGCACAUCAGAGAAAAUGAAUUGCAGAAAAACAAGGAGAAUAUCGCCUCAACAACAUGCUGAGAAAUGGUGCAAUAAUGGCAGUGAUCAAGAAGGCUUCGAGAGGAGGUACAUCAAUGACUGUGUUGGUUAUGGUCUUUUCACCACUAAGCAUUUCAGCAAGGGGGACUUCCUGCUGGAGUAUAGAGGGAAAUUGGGCAAGGGAAAUUGCAACAACGAUAACGAUUACACUUUCUUUUUCAACCACCAGGGUGUUGA